rnacentral:rRNA from 1 species
CAGCAGCCGCGGUAAGACAGAGGAUGCAAGCGUUAUCGGGAAUGAUUGGGCGUAAAGCGUCUGUAGGUGGCUUUUCAAGUCCGCCGUCAAAUCCCAGGGCUCAACCCUGGACAGGCGGUGGAAACUACCAAGCUGGAGUACGGUAGGGGCAGAGGGAAUUUCCGGUGGAGCGGUGAAAUGCGUAGAGAUGUGGAGGAACACCAGUGGCGAAGGCGACUCUCUGGUCUGUAACUGACGCUGAGGAGCGAAAGCGUGGGGAGCGAACAGGAUUAGAUACCCCCGUAGUCCCUGUCUCUUAUAC